CUUUUCAAUGAGAAUGAGAACAGGGAGAUUAAUAUACAAAUCUUACAUCAUGCAUGCUCCAAUUAUUGAUGUCAUUGAACCUAUGCGUUCAAUCCAUAUUCUCACGUUUAUUAAAAAAAACUAUAUUCUCACGUAACAUCCAUUUGAGACGCACUUCAGUUUAAUUAGUACUUAUCCUUUUCUGGGCUAACAAUACUUAUCCUUUUACUGCUUAUUAUUUCAACGUCCAUCUCUAACACUUAUUUUAUUUCAUCAAAGCAUAUAUAUUGUCAAAUAUUGUUACCAAGACACCAAGUUUCAUGAUUCGUCACACUCACAUGACUUGUACAAAAGCCCAAAAAAAUUAAAAAAUAAAUAAAAGGAAAAACAAAUAUGGCAUAUUGAACUUGAUAAACGAUACUUGCAAAUCCAACUAUUUGCAACUAUUCGUACAUUCUAUGUGUAAUUUAAGUUUUGGGGUGUCAACUUCAACCAAAGUUGUAUUUUGCAUGCACUACUUUGUUUGAAGUUCCACAAUAACACUCAUAUAAAUAUUUAAAGAGUUUUGCUACAAUAGAUUCACUCUAUUUUAUUAACAUUUAUUUUAGCAACUAACAAAUAUUUAUUUGGACUAAUAGACCAAUUUGUUUACAUUAAAAUAUAUUUAAAUACAUGGGACUAAGGUAAUUUUGAAAUUCUUAUUAACUGUUUUAACAUCCCUUUUCGAUCUCUUCGUUGAUUUCUAUGAAAAAGAAGAAGGAAAAAAAACUUUUUUAUUGGUUAAAAUGGAC
rnacentral:lncRNA from 1 species